AGUUCCUGGCUGGGACCAGAGGAGUGAAGAAAGCUGCUCCUCUGCAGCCAAAGGAGCCUGACAAUUAGACAGACAGGCUUGUGGUGAGCUGACCUUACAUAGCUUGGAGAAGACCUGAGGAUGGCGGCUCUGAGGAUUAGGACACCAGCAUGGAGAAUAUGUGAACAGAUCCUGCUAUUACAGCUCCACAUCCAGCACUACAGAGCAGUAUGGUCUCUUUCAAAAUAUAAAGCUGCUGAUGCUGAACUACUGAAUGUUUUAUAGCUUUAUUAAGAAAGAAGAAUUCAGUAUAUGACAGGAUAAUAUUAUUUCAGUUUAAAUAAUGCCUUCCAAAUCAGUCAUCACCAGCUGCAAGGAAUGAUUUGGGAGGAUAAUAGCUUGCACAAUAAAAGGAAGUUAACAUGCUUAAAUCAAUGUACUGAAAACCAGAUUAGAUGCUGUUAUUAUUGCUAAUGAUCUUGCAGUAAAGUGGCCAAUAGUGACUUAGAUAAAUGUGGGAACUGGUCCAAAAAAAGAUAAAGAAACCUCUAGUGUUGGUCUGGGGAUAAUACCAACAGCACUUUGUUCUGAUGUGCAACAGGCUCAUGUCUGACCAUCUCUAGAACUUCCUAUGGACCUGUUGAAAUUUACACAUUAUCUUUUUAUAUAGGGUGAGAUUUUAAAAAGUGUUCAGUGUUGAUCUCUGGUCUACUGAGGUUAAUGAUUUAAGUGCUAUUAUUUCAAUGGGAGCAUAAUUAGACGGUGCUGAGGACUUUUGAAAAGCCUAUACUGUGCUCAUCUCCAUAAGUAUGAAAACAUCAUGGAUAUGGUACUAGCCAUCUCCGGGGCAGUUUGAGCUGGAAUUCUACUGCAGUAAUCUUGACUGUCAAUAUAUGGAGCAGCAGUGGCUUGAACCCUACAGGAAGAUUUUUAAUGGUACAUUUUGCAAUAGAAUGAAGACUCUUAAAGGCCUUCAUGAGAAGGGAGAGACAAUAGCUCACACUCAAAUGCUUGGACAUGGUGUGUUUUCCUGUCCUACCACUGGGGGGAAAAAAGGAACAUUACUGUACACUGAAUAUUGUAAGAGGUUGUAUUAGCUUGUGUGUUGAGCAGUAGCAAUCACAUAAUCACAUGAUUAACAGACAGCUCAGCAUGCAACUGAGGAGGUUGAAAAAAUAUAAUUGCGAAGUUGGGUAUAAAACUCAUCCAUACUGGCAUGAGGAGCUACUUCUUUCACUAUGAGAUGGCUCAGUACAAAGGGUAACUCAAAUGCACAACAUAAUAAAACUGAACAAGCAUCAGCCAUAUUGAAUUAAAACACUUGGGCAGUAUAACAUUGACUGAGUGAUUCGCUGCCUCUCAGAGCUUUUGUUCUCCCUGUUUCAGAGAAACCUAGAAGGAAAUACCAAACACACAGUAUCAAAGAUAAAACAACGAGGAGUCCUUGUGGCACCUUAGAGUGUCAGCAAUGCAAAGCAUGAAAAGAAUCCUUGGGGAAUCCAUAACUGUCAACCCUUUCCAAGCCUAAUUAUGUGCAGACAAGACAACUCUGCACCUGAGGACUGGGGGCUGUUUUCAAUUGUUGGCUGUGUGCGUGUUCUCUACACGUGCUGCACUGGCUCUUGCCAGAUAGUCCAUACAGCAGACUUCAGUCGAACUGCCCAAGAAGACCAUAGACUCAGUUCAGUAGUGAAGGCUCUCGGCCAUGAUUAUUGCUGACAAAAAAUUUCCAGUUGGAAUCCAUGCAGACUCUUUCUCCUUCUCGGCUGGACUGUAAAAUCACUCAGCUAGUCAGCUAACUAAUGAACCAACCAAUCAGUAUUAAGUAUAUAAAUGAAUAACAUUGUUACAACAAAAAUAAAAAUCUGAG